CGUUGCAUAUGGGGAGGGUUGUAAAAGGUAUUACAAGUUCGUAAACAAUGUAAAAAUCUGUGCCCGGGUAGCGGAGGAAAAAGGAGAAGUGAUCGGAUGCCCUCCCGUGUUCUCACUGCUGCCAUUAUACAACUUGUGCUGCUCCUCUUCCAAAGCCCUUUCAAAAAGGCAGUCCUGCUGACAAUCACGCUCUCCUUGAAGUGCCUCACUUGCCGUUGGCUCUCUUUUCCUUCCAGCAGACAAAGCUUGAGGGAUAUAAAUCGAAAGGGACAUGUGGAGUGUAUGAAACAGGCUACUUCAGUGUGCACAUUGGGGGAACCUCAUAAAGUCCUUCACAGCAGCCAGGAGAUUCCAGACAGAAUUUCCACUGAUCACUGCUCAACUCUGUGGCCUUUAGAUCCUGGAGCUCAGCACUGAAAUAGCCUCCUUCAAGAUGAAAAGGAGGGAUGAGGAGCUAAAAAGCAGACUAAGAAAGAGGUGUGUGAGGGUCCAAAACCCUCAUGAACAAGGGGCAGAAUAAGGCAUCUGUGCAGGGAUUGGGGUUCUCCACCCCUCAAGGCAGCAGAGCUCUGUGUUGCAUAUGAAUCCAUCCAGCCGUCCAUCCAUCUGUCCAUCCAUCCAUCUGUGGCAGAAUUAGAGAUAGCUGUGA